rnacentral:tRNA from 1 species
GUGGCCAUGGUGAAGGGGCCUAACACAUAUGACUGUGACUCAUACAUUCGAGGGUUCGAAUCCCUCUGGCCACCCCA